GAUGAACGCUGGCAGCGUGGAUAAGGCAUGCAAGUCAAACGGCAGCACGGGGGCAACCCUGGUGGCGAGUGGCGAACGGGUGAGUAAUACAUCGGAACGUGCCCAGUCGUGGGGGAUAACUACGCGAAAGCGUAGCUAAUACCGCAUACGAUCUAUGGAUGAAAGCGGGGGAUCGCAAGACCUCGCGCGAUUGGAGCGGCCGAUGGCAGAUUAGGUAGUUGGUGGGGUAAAGGCUCACCAAGCCGACGAUCUGUAGCUGGUCUGAGAGGACGACCAGCCACACUGGGACUGAGACACGGCCCAGACUCCUACGGGAGGCAGCAGUGGGGAAUUUUGGACAAUGGGCGCAAGCCUGAUCCAGCCAUUCCGCGUGCAGGAUGAAGGCCCUCGGGUUGUAAACUGCUUUUGUACGGAACGAAACGGCGCGGGUUAAUACCCUGUGCUAAUGACGGUACCGUAAGAAUAAGCACCGGCUAACUACGUGCCAGCCGCCGCGGUAA
rnacentral:rRNA from 1 species